CCGUGCUAGACGGGGAAAUAGCGGAGCCUUGUAACCCGCAAUCCGCUCCAGCGGGGUUGAAUUCCUUUCCUGAGGCUGUCGUGCUGUAAGGUCUGCCUUAAGUAAGUGGUGUUGACACCCGGGUCCUGCGCAAUGGGAAUCCAUGAACCAUGUCAGGUCCGGAAGGAAGCAGCAUUAAGUGGAAGCUCUCAUGUGCCGCAGGGUUGCCUGGGUCGAGCUAACUGCUUAAGUAACGCUUAUGGCACACAGUCGAAGGAAGGUGCACGG
rnacentral:SRP_RNA from 1 species